CACGUAGGAGGCAAGCGUUAUCCGGAUUUACUGGGCGUAAAGCGCGUGCAGGCGGUUUAGAAAGUUGGAUGUGAAAGCUCCUGGCUUAACUGGGAGAGGUCGUUCAAUACUUCUAGACUAGAGUAUGGGAGAGGGAGGUGGAAUUCCGGGUGUAGUGGUGAAAUGCGUAGAUAUCCGAAGGAACACCAGUGGCGAAAGCGGCCUCCUGGCCCAUUACUGACGCUCAGACGCGAAAGCUAGGGUAGCAAACGGG
rnacentral:rRNA from 1 species